GAUCACAGCACGGGACCCCCCGCUCCCGGCGCGACUGUCGACUGGGCCGGACUGUCCUCAGUGCGGCUCGACCGCGUCGCGUUGCCGGGCGGGGUGCGUUCACGCCAGGGCGCCAGGGGUCGGCGGCGAUGUCGGCUACCCAUCC
rnacentral:rRNA from 1 species